rnacentral:rRNA from 1 species
UACAGAGGGGGCAAGCGUUGUUCGGAAUUACUGGGCGUAAAGGGCGCGUAGGCGGCCUGUUAAGUCGAACGUGAAAUCCCCGGGCUCAACCCGGGAACUGCGUCCGAUACUGGCAGGCUUGAAUUCGGGAGAGGGAUGCGGAAUUCCAGGUGUAGCGGUGAAAUGCGUAGAUAUCAGGAAGAACACCCGUGGCGAAAGCGGCUCUCUGGAACGGUACUGACGCUGAGACGCGAAAGCGUGGGGAGCGAACAGG